rnacentral:lncRNA from 1 species
CUUGAAGUCGGCAGGGAUCGCAUUAUCGACAACACGGUAGCCACCACCCUUUGCAAGAAAGCGGAAGGCGAUAGGUCCCUCGAUCGGCUCCUUGCUGUCAAGGGUAAAAGUCUUGGGUUCUGACUCCUUGAGGUCGUCCGUGAAAUCCGUGGCUCCCUUGGGCUUGACCGACACCUCGGAGAUGGCGACGUUGGUGAUGAGGGAUAGUUUGGUGGAGGUGGAGUCCUUACCGACCUCGAUGGUGAGCGUAGUGCCGCAUGAGCCAAUGGCAAACAGCGCCGUCAAUGCCACCGCCGCGAGUAGGAAGCAGAAGGAGGAUGAGGAGGCCAUUGGUGAGCUAGCAAGUUGGCAGAACCUUGUUGUUUAUUUCUUGAUCGAUGGAGAGGGAUAAAUGGGUGUGGUUGAUGUGUGUGGCGAUCGAUUUUGUAGCUGGCGGCUGCGUAUUUAUGGUAGCUGAGGCAAGCAAACUAGGCAUGGACGUAUGGUGAGCCCCAUAGAUCGCUGGCUGUCUUGUUUAUCGACAGACACUUGUUCAAUUGCCACAAAUAGAUCUAGGCAUUCUCGAUUCUCUUGCUGUCUAUCUGAGGCAUGCAGAUUUCUUAGCAAGCACAGGCAUGCAACCCUCAAUAUUUUUAUUAUAUAGUAAUGCGGCACGAGUAAUUAUUCCCGUUGACACACCUAAACAAAUUUAGUAAUCCUUGUAUCCCAAAAUAUACAAGGCACACCCAUUUCAAAAUUCAAGUUUGUUUACUUUUUUUACCAACACUAGUCUAUAUAUAAUGCAAUCUAUACCUAGUCUAUCUAUCUAUAUCACUGUUAUUAUUAUACUAUAAAAGUGCAAAACGAUAACAAAAUACAACCCACCUAGCGGGGUCCCACCCAAUCAUUUUCUAGUCUUGUGGACGUGUUUUCAAAGUUUAGUAUUAGUGAGAUGAAAACUUCCACUCCGGCCUAACAGACUGGCCUGGAUUGAAAAAAAUAUCUUUAUAAUGUGUAUUCUAUUCUAAUUUUCUCCGACCGUGCCAAAGACUAUAACCUAAAACGGCGAUUUGAUAUAGUCGCGAAGCUCUCACAUGAGAUUGAAGUAUAUCAUCCUCAAGUCUAGCUAGUCCAGUAGCUUCUCUACUCUCCAACCUGCUUAAAAUAUCCGAUUGCAGGGAUAUAAAUAGUCCUAAGCGAGCCAACAUGCUUCUCCAGUGUUCAUACUUCAUGAGAACACCGGAUGAUAUGAUGAAACAAAUGACGAUACAUGAUUAUCCUAUGAAUACAACUGGAUAUUGCACCAACGAAAAAUGGUUACAUUUUUUUUUCUAAAUAUCGGAUCGUAUGGUGGCACAAAAAAUGGUCACGAACGGAUCAUCAUGUGAUCUCACAAUAUUUUGAUUUACUAGAUUUUGCAAAAGUACUUGGUCCAAUGAAUUAAAAUGACAAUAUAAACACGUGAACAUUCGAGUGUGCGCACACUUUGAUGUUUUGGUAUUUUCCCAAAUCUUUCUCCUUCUGACUUAGUUUUAAUGGUCUUUACUUGUUUGAAAGUUUGUAAAAAUAUUUACAACUUGAACCUAACAACAUAAAGUUUUUAUAUACUCUAAAUCUAAAUUCAUAAGACUUUUUAUCUUGGCUUUAGUAUCUUUGAGUGAUCUAAGAAAAGUCAUCGAACGCAUCUUAGAAUAUGCAUAUGUUAGUCCGAGUGAUUGGGUUACCAUUUCAAUCACUGAAACCAUUAAGGGUUGUGGCUAGGUCCAUGUAUCUAUAGUGAUUAUCAGGGAUGGUGAUAUAAGAUGCCUACCCUAUAAAUAGUAACAUUUAAUUACAUAGGUGGGCAUUGUCAUUCGUUAUGCUCUCCUUACGAUGAUUUUGCACAAGCGGCGACUUGGUCAUUCUUCCUUUAUAAUUAAAAAAUGUCUAUACCGAUUGAUCCUUUUUACAGUAGCUUUGUAUUAUCUUAAAUAAAAAUAGUUACAAUUAGAGAAGUAUAUAUGAAUGUUAGGAAACAACAAGGAACAUGCAACGUGCAUUGCAUAAAAACUAGCCCCUAGCCAACAUAAAACUAUAGUCAAAUUUUACUAAAACAAAUAAAAUUCAAGAUUCCAAAACUUGCCAUCUUUAUACGGAAUAUUCUAGGUCCUCUUUUUUUGCUGGUUCGAUUUUAUUUUGGCAUUUUAGAAUCCUAGUCGCUUAUUGGAACACACUCCUUUUUUUGUGAGACCCAGUUACAGACGCUCACAAACAUGAGCGUGUACUCACUCCUAUGAACGCACGCACGCACACCAUACCCCUAUAAGCACCUCCGAAGAACUGAGUUGGACUGGCAAAUCUCGAGAUUGAUGAAGUCACCAUAGGCACCUUGCUAUGGACAGACACGUCGCCUACCACUGAAAGUAUAGCGCCGUUAAAUCAUAGAAUAAAUUUAGUAAAAUGUGUGCACCCAAGUCAAGUCAUGGACUUGAAUCCGGGUGGGCAGGUUCCACCACAAGGAACUCGACCGGCUAACCUAUGAUCAGUUUUCUCGGAACACACCCCUUGACAAUGCAACAUAGUGAUGGUAUAUGAGAACACCGCUUCAUAAAGUUAAAUUAUGUAUUAGUCGUUUGUGAUAAUAGUUUCAUGUCAUGGUUUGGUCCAUUUAGCAAUUAGUGUUAAAAAACAUCACGUGUAAAUUGAAAUUCCAUAGCAUUUCUUCCAUGCUACACAAGGUAAACAUGCUUCAUCGAUUCUUACAUACAUAUAUUUAUUAGAAGUUUGGAAAACCAAAGUACACGGCCACUAUUUUACCACACAUAAACAAUAUUGUAAAGUGUGUGCAUAUAGCUCCAGUGCUCCACAACAACAUGUGGGAGAACAUAGUAUAAUUUAUUUUGUGGUAGCCUACCUCUAAAUAAUCAUAGAAAAAAAAAUUUGGCAUGGUCAUUCUGUACCCUUGGUCUCUGUAGAAAAUUUAUUUAGAGGUCAGUAUAAUCUCUACGCGGCAGAUGACCACAUGUGUCCAUUGCUUAGACUUGUUCGGUGGUCUUGUAAACCGAGCCGGCCUUGAAGUCAGCAGGGAUCGCAUUAUCGACAACACGGUAGCCACCACCCUUCGCAAGGAAGCGGAAGGCGAUAGGUCCCUCAAUCGGCUCCUUGCUGUCGAGCGUAAAAGUCUUAGGCUCUGACUCCUUGAGGUCGUCCGUGAAAUCCGUGGCUCCCUUGGGCUUGACCGACACCUCGGAGAUGGCGACGUUGGUGAUAAGGGAUA